rnacentral:rRNA from 1 species
AAGGAAUUUUCCCCAAUGGGCGCAAGCCUGAGGGAGCAACGCCGCGUGGAGGACGACGGCCUUCGGGUUGUAAACUCCUUUCGGGAGGGACGAUGCUGACGGUACCACCAGAAGCAGCCCCGGCUAACUCUGUGCCAGCAGCCGCGGUAAGACAGAGGGGGCAAGCGCGCUCCGGAGCUACUGGGCGUAAAGCGUGCGCAGGCGGUUCGGUGAGUGGGUUUUGGAAGCGGCCGCGUAAACCUGGCGAG